rnacentral:rRNA from 1 species
AUUGAACGCUGGCGGCAUGCUUUACAUAUGCAAGUCGAACGGUAACAGGUUAAGCUGACGAGUGGCGAACGGGUGAGUAAUGCAUCGGAACGUGCCCGAUCGUGGGGGAUAACGCAGCGAAAGCUGCGCUAAUACCGCAUACGAUCUGAGGAUGAAAGCGGGGGACCGUAAGGCCUCGCGCGAUCGGAGCGGCCGAUGUCAGAUUAGGUAGUGGGUGGGGUAAAGGCUCACCAAGCCAACGAUCUGUAGCUGGUCUGAGAGGACGACCAGCCACACGGGGACUGAGACACGGCCCAGACUCCUACGGGAGGCAGCAGUGGGGAAUUUUGGACAAUGGGCGAAAGCCUGAUCCAGCAAUGCCGCGGGCAGGAAGAAGGCCUUCGGGUUGUAAACUGCUUUUGUACGGAGCGAAAAGGCCCUCUCUAAUACAGUGGGCUCAUGACGGUACCGUAAGAAUAAGCACCGGCUAACUACGUGCCAGCAGCCGCCGUAA